rnacentral:rRNA from 1 species
GAUGAACGCUGGUGGCGUGCCUAAUACAUGCAAGUCGAGCGAACAGACGAGGAGCUUGCUCCUCUGACGUUAGCGGCGGACGGGUGAGUAACACGUGGAUAACCUACCUAUAAGACUGGGAUCACUUCGGGAAACCGGAGCUAAUACCGGAUAAUAUCUUGAACCGCAUGGUUCAAUAGUGAAAGACGGUUUUGCUGUCACUUAUAGAUGGAUCCGCGCCGCAUUAGCUAGUUGGUAAGGUAACGGCUUACCAAGGCGACGAUGCGUAGCCGAACUGAGAGGGUGAUAGGCCACCCUGGAACUGAGCCACGGUCCAGACUCCUACGGGAGGGAGCAGUAGGGAAUCUUCCGCAAUGGGCGAAAGCUUGACGGAGCAACGCCGCGUGAGUGAUGAAGGUCUUCGGAUCGUAAAACUCUGUUAUUAGGGAAGAACAACUGUGUAAGUAAAUAUGCACGUCUUGACGGUACCUAAUCAGAAAGCAACGGCUAACUACGUG